UACGUAGGUGGCAAGCGUUGUCCGGAUUUACUGGGCGUAAAGAGCGCGCAGGCGGUCGUGCAAGUCGCGUGUGAAAGCCCCCGGCUCAACUGGGGAGGGUCACGCGAUACUGAUCGACUCGAAGGCAUGAGAGGGUAGUGGAAUUCCCGGUGUAGUGGUGAAAUGCGUAGAUAUCGGGAGGAACAUCAGUGGCGAAGGCGGCCAUCUGGGACAACACUGACGCUGAAGCACGAAAGCGUGGGGAGCAAACAGG
rnacentral:rRNA from 1 species